UGCUCCUCGGAUACUGCCUGACCAGCUGUGCUUUUCCAGCACCUUACACUUUGACUCUUUCUGUUAGUGCUGCUCAUUUGGAUUUCCACCACCUGAAGUCCUGAAUCCCAGUGAAGUCCCUGACAUGUAUUUAAUUGGGUCAGCUCACUUCCUCAGAAGUGACCUUCCCUUUCCACCAGCUCUCCAGCUAAGUGUCAGCACCAAUAUAAGUGACAUUAAAUGCUGCCCAUUGUAUUUGGCUUGGUUCUUGCUUGAAAAAUUCACAUGAUGUCUGUCAUACAGCCAUUAGUUGGAUAUUGGUGACCCGAUAAUUCACUGAACAGAAAUAGUUAGUGUUGAGGUUAUGUUCCUCGAUAGCCUAGCUUGGUUUUUGGUGUCUCCUAUUUCCCAGAGAGCGUGGGUGGAACAUAGACAUCUGAACUCAACAUGAACUGCCAAUUGAGGUAGUUAAGUGAUUGUUUAAAACCCAACCUCGCAUCUUUUCUUGGUUUUCCCAGCGGCAAGCUGUUACAAAUGAAAUGUGGUGAGUGGUCCCUCAAGAGUAUACAUAGACAUUUACAGCAUCGGUAACAAUCACAUGAACAUGAUGAGCCAGCCUGUACACAAGAGUGCAACUACAUUUUUCUAACUAUUCUGUUUUUUUUUGAAAAUUAACCAAAAACCAUUGCAGGUACAAGUUAGGCAAGCUACCCAAUAUAGCUUGGGUAUAUUGGGUACCCAGCAGCUAUGCAACCAGAUAAUCACUGUCAUUCCAAGGCUGCUCUGCUCAGUCAAGGAGGUUUGAGGAGGAUGUCAGAGAAGGGGAAGAUGACAUCUUGAUUCUCUCACAGUGAUCUGAAGGCUUUCAUUGAGCAGGUCUUGCAAAGAGAGUGCUCUUCCUAGAGGACUGGCAGAGGACACCAUGCACUGGACCCUGGCAGCCUGGUCUAAGGUUACCGUCUGGCUCAGUACCACCUCCAUGGUGCAGAGGAACAUCCAGCAUGAAGGCCAAUGAUCUUCUCCACUCUGCCAGAGAGAAGACAACCCAUAAUAGGGCAGAAGAAGCCGAUGUGGGGUGGAGGACAGCCUGACAUUAAACUCCUCACCCCCAUAUGAGGAAAGAAUCCCGGCUGUUGCAGGAGAAGAUCCAGACCACUCCUGCAGAGAUAUCAAAAUAUCCAUGUCCCAGCAACCCAGAGCCUCUGAACAUUAGUUCAACAGGAUAUUGCCAGGGAGGAGGGUCUUCAGUCACAAGUGGAGGUUGGAAAUAUGAAGAUUGUUCUCCUCAGCACUUGGAUGAGUAAUUGUUUCGAUGUAAACCAAAGAAAAUGCUAAUCUUUUACUCAUGAGCUAUUAGUGGUGCCUUACGCACAGCACAAGUAAAGGGGUAAAAAAAGACAGAAACUAUCCACCCUAUCUAUGCCACUGGACAGGUUUAGUCUGUGGUCUUUGACUGUCUCAAGGUAAGAAGUAAUGCAUAAUGGCCAGGAACAUGGCAAAACCGAAAAACCAAGAGAAGCUGGCUAGUUGAAGCAAGAAAGGGGAAAUUUCAAGCAUUCAUUUUGGAGUGUUCCUGAAAACAUACCUGUUAGAAUAAGCUAAUGGUCAUCUGAAUUAAGUCUAUGGAACCUAUGUGAGGAAACAGACCAAUAUAAAUCCACAAGCAAUUGGCAAACACACCCAUGAAGGUCACAAAGCAGUUCUCAGGUAUAAUUACACCAGGGAAGAAGUAACCAGGACUGGGAGCAAUGCAGUGGAGAGACAACAUUGAUGGGGAACCAAGAAAGGCUGAUCACGAAUCUUCUUAUUUAUAGCAAAAGCAGGAUCUACGCAUGUAUAAAUUAAAAUUUAAACAUUCCACUUCUGUUUAUUCAUGUUACUGAUGAGAUUGUCUGGGUAUUUGGAGAUACUAAUGGCUAUCACUUCAGUUAAGAAUGUCAUGCUACAGUUGUAUAAUGCUUUGGUGAGACCUCAGCUGAAGCUCUGUGUAGAGUUGUGUUCCCUUAUUUAAGAAGGGAUAUUUUUGCUACAGAGGAAGUGCAACGAACGUUCAGCAGAUUAAUCCUUAUGCUGCUGAGAUUGUCUUAUGAGGAGAGAUUGAGGACACUGGACUGUAUUCCCUACAGUUUUCAAGAAUGGAAUGUGGGGAUGACCUCAUUAUUAUUUACAACAUUCUUACAUGAAAGGGUGGAUGUACAUAAGCUUUACCCCUGCUGGUGCCUCAAAAACCCCAGGACAUAAUCUCAGCAUAAAGAGUAGGUCAUAUAAAACCUAGGAGAUGAGGAGAAACAUCUUCACUCAGAGCAUGGUAAAUCUUUGGAAUUCUCUAGCCCCAGAGGACUGUCGCAGCUCAAUCAUUGAGCAAGUUCAAAUCUACAGAUUUCUGGAGGCUAAUGACAUCAAGGCACAGAAAGUUAGUGGAAUGGCACAGGGGUAAUUAAUCAGCCAUAAUCUAAUUGAAUGACAGAGCAGGCUUGAUAGGCUGAAUGGCCUACUCAUCUUUAUUUUUUUUUAUUUUUAUUUUUACUCAUCUUGUUAUGUUUCAAAGUAAUAUACCUAGUUCUAGCAGAAAAGCCUUGGAUUUUUGACAGACAUCAGUACUUGCUUAGCUUCAAGAGCUGGAUUUUUCGAUUUCUGACAGUAACAAAACAUUAGGUGGCACAUAUUGAGGUAGCAAAAUGCUAAGUUGUCAAGAAGAUCAGUACCAGUUCCCCCAACCAUUGUUGGAAGCCAAUGAUUGCGUUGGUACACAUUGUGCAAAAGUCUUUUUUUACAAAUCAUUUCUACCUGAAGGAAAACAGUGAAUGUGUAUGGUAAACUGAGAUAUGUUGAUUUAAGAGGUUGGUAAAGCAUUAAAAAUGAAUUAUUUCUUACGAUAUUGCAGACUAUACAAGCUCAUCACAACUUUGAGAACUCAGGACAAAGAUACAUCCAGUUCAGUUCAUAAAAGACAAAAGAAAUUCAGGAUUUCUAAACAUUUAGGCUCUAAUUUUUCAGUUGAUGCUGGCUCUUCAUUGAUCCUAUUUCACAGGCGAUUAUUUCACAGUAGGUAGAAUAAGCAGCAGGAUUUUCCCUAAGACUGCACAGGACAAAGUUAUAACACAUGACAAGAACCUGCAGGACUACCUCACUGAAAAGAUUCAUCCAGGUAUUCCAGGUAUUUUGUCUUUUGUGGGAUUGCUUUUGAUUGGAUCCUUUAGAUAGAACAAAGUGUUUGUGUUGAUGAACAAGAAAACAUCCUUUGAGCGUGUGAUCAGACUCUCCGGAAGCAUUGACCUCUGGAUAUACUGCCACUUCUGGUUAGCUCAUUGUUGGAAACAAUUACUUUAAUAAACAAAAAGUUAAAUCAUCAUUUGAUGAAUUAGCAUUUAUUAAAGAAAAUAUAAUAAUCAUCUUAAAAACAUGUUUAAAGCUGAUCAACUGUAGAAGUAUACUCCUUUUGGGCCAAGUAAUAAUUUGAUGACCCACACACAGAGAUAAUUUUAUAUGUGCCUUGUACUCACGUGCAGAUCAUGACUUAUGUCAACUGUUCUUGCAUCUGACAUGCUGUGUAGCCGUUAAUGUUAAGCUUUAACCAUUCUAAUUUUCACUUUGCUGCAGUAAUGGAGUGGUUUUAUGUAGAAAUAUAGACCGUGGCAUUUUAAAAAUGCUUUAUUUCCCUUACCAGCCCAAAGUGAGCAUUUCUAUUCCAAGUCCCUAUAUCCAAUAAUUUUCCCUGUCAUGAUCAGUACACACUCUGUAGACUAGCUGUUACUUAACAGAUGCCAAUUACACAUCAUUAAAAAGAUGCUUCUACACUCAUUGUGAUGUAUUUGAGUCUUCUCACAUAUAAAAUGUACAAAUCAUAGAUUUCUUUAGCAUGAUCUCAGCGCUUGUAAAUAGAGAAAUAAGCAUAUUGUUUUGAUUUUUUUCCAGUUUUCCUAUACGUUGAGAAUAUUACAACUAGGGUUAGAUUUUCAUUUUGUCAGUCAGGGUUAAAACCAACACCACAGCUCUGCUGGCAGGUCAACAAAGAACAGAAACAAAAUUCAAAUGGUUUCAAUUCUGGUGGCUGAUUGGUAAGUCUAGUUUUAAUCUUUGGCAACAAGCUGAGAAACUACCUUUUGCCUUCAGACAUUUUAAAUAAAUAAACUGCUUCAUAAAAUCUCACAAUAAAACAGCCCUCCUGACGUAAUUUCUGUUGUCCUAUU